GACGAACGCUGGCGGCGUGCCUAAUACAUGCAAGUCGAACGCAGUGGGUACGGGUGAGUAACACGUGGGUAACCUCCCAUCAGAGGGGAUAACACUUGGAAACAGGUGCUAAACCGAUACUGAUGGAUGGCCCCGCGGUGCAUUAGCUAGUUGUUGAGGUAACGGCUCACCAGGGCCACGAUGCAUAGACGAACUGGUAGGGUGAUCGGCCAAACUGGGACUGAGACACGGCCCUGACUCCUACGGUAGGCAGCAGUAGGGAAUCGUCGGCAAUGGACGAAAGUCUGACCGAGCAACGCCGCGUGAGUGAAGAAGGUUUUCGGAUCGUAAAACUCUGUUGUUAGAGAAGCGGUAUCUAACCAGAAAGCAACGGCUAACUACGUGCCAGCAGCCGCGGUAAUAC
rnacentral:rRNA from 1 species